rnacentral:rRNA from 1 species
UACGUAGGGGGCGAGCGUUGUCCGGAAUCAUUGGGCGUAAAGAGCGUGUAGGCGGCUUGGCAAGUCUGACGUGAAAGCCCGCGGCUCAACCGCGGAUUGUCGUUGGAAACUGCCUCGCUAGAGUCCGGAAGAGGAGAGCGGAAUUCCUGGUGUAGCGGUGGAAUGCGCAGAUAUCAGGAAGAACACCAAUGGCGAAGGCAGCUCUCUGGGACGGUACUGACGCUGAGACGCGAAAGCGUGGGGAGCGAACAGG